UGGCUCAGGAUGAACGCUGGCGGCGUGCCUAAUACAUGCAAGUCGAACGAAACUUCUUUAUCACCGAGUGCUUGCACUCACCGGUAAAGGGUUGAGUGGCGAACGGGUGAGUAACACGUGGGCAACCUGCCCAAAAGAGGGGGAUAACACUUGGAAACAGGUGCUAAUACCGCAUAACCAUAGUUACCGCAUGGUAGCUAUGUAAAAGGUGGCUAUGCUACCGCUUUUGGAUGGGCCCGCGGCGCAUUAGCUAGUUGGUGGGGUAAAGGCUUACCAAGGCAAUGAUGCGUAGCCGAACUGAGAGGUUGAUCGGCCACAUUGGGACUGAGACACGGCCCAAACUCCUACGGGAGGCAGCAGUAGGGAAUCUUCCACAAUGGGCGAAAGCCUGAUGGAGCAACGCCGCGUGGGUGAAGAAGGUCUUCGGAUCGUAAAACCCUGUUGUUAGAGAAGAAAGUGCGUGAGAGUAACUGUUCACGUUUCGACGGUAUCUAACCAGAAAGCCACGGCUAACUACGUGCCAGCAGCCGCGGUAAUACGUAGGUGGCAAGCGUUAUCCGGAUUUAUUGGGCGUAAAGGGAACGCAGGCGGUCUUUUAAGUCUGAUGUGAAAGCCUUCGGCUUAACCGGAGCAGUGCAUUGGAAACUGGGAGACUUGAGUGCAGAAGAGGAGAGUGGAACUCCAUGUGUAGCGGUGAAAUGCGUAGAUAUAUGGAAGAACACCAGUGGCGAAAGCGGCUCUCUGGUCUGUAACUGACGCUGAGGUUCGAAAGCGUGGGUAGCAAACAGGAUUAGAUACCCUGGUAGUCCACGCCGUAAACGAUGAAUUCUAAGUGUGGAGGGUUUCCGCCCUUCAGUGCUGCAGCUAACGCAAUAAGCAUUCCGCCUGGGGAGUACGACCGCAAGGUUGAAACUCAAAGGAAUUGACGGGGGCCCGCACAAGCGGUGGAGCAUGUGGUUUAAUUCGAAGCAACGCGAAGAACCUUACCAGGUCUUGACAUCUUUUGACAAUCCUAGAGAUAGGACUUUCCCUUCGGGGACAAAAUGACAGGUGGUGCAUGGUUGUCGUCAGCUCGUGUCGUGAGAUGUUGGGUUAAGUCCCGCAACGAGCGCAACCCUUAUUGUUAGUUGCCAGCAUUAAGUUGGGCACUCUAGCAAGACUGCCGGUGACAAACCGGAGGAAGGUGGGGAUGACGUCAAAUCAUCAUGCCCCUUAUGAUCUGGGCUACACACGUGCUACAAUGGACGGUACAACGAGUCGCAAGACCGCGAGGUUUAGCAAAUCUCUUAAAGCCGUUCUCAGUUCGGAUUGUAGGCUGCAACUCGCCUACAUGAAGUCGGAAUCGCUUGUAAUCGCGGAUCAGCAUGCCGCGGUGAAUACGUUCCCGGGCCUUGUACACACCGCCCGUCACACCAUGAGAGUUUGUAACACCCAAAGCCGGUGGGGUAACCUUUUAGAGCCAGCCGUCUAAGGUGGGACAGAUGAUUAGGGUGAAGUCGUAACAAGG
rnacentral:rRNA from 1 species